rnacentral:tRNA from 1 species
GAGGGUAUAGCUCAGAGGUACAGCACAUGCUUAGCAUGCAUGAGGUCAUGGGUUCGAUCCUCAGUACCUCCG